AUUGAACGCUGGCGGCAGGCCUAACACAUGCAGGUCGAGCGGAUGAAGGGAGCUUGCUCCUGGAUUCAGCGGCGGACGGGUGAGUAAUGCCUAGGAAUCUGCCUGGUAGUGGGGGAUAACGUCCGGAAACGGGCGCUAAUACCGCAUACGUCCUGAGGGAGAAAGUGGGGGAUCUUCGGACCUCACGCUAUCAGAUGAGCCUAGGUCGGAUUAGCUAGUUGGUGGGGUAAAGGCCUACCAAGGCGACGAUCCGUAACUGGUCUGAGAGGAUGAUCAGUCACACUGGAACUGAGACACGGUCCAGACUCCUACGGGAGGCAGCAGUGGGGAAUAUUGGACGAUGGGCGAAAGCCUGAUCCAGCCAUGCCGCGUGUGUGAAGAAGGUCUUCGGAUUGUAAAGCACUUUAAGUUGGGAGGAAGGGCAGUAAGUUAAUACCUUGCUGUUUUGACGUUACCAACAGAAUAAGCACCGGCUAACUUCGUG
rnacentral:rRNA from 1 species